rnacentral:rRNA from 1 species
UCCUGGCUCAGGAUGAACGCUGGCGGCGUGCUUAACACAUGCAAGUCGAACGAUGAUCUCCAGCUUGCUGGGGGGAUUAGUGGCGAACGGGUGAGUAACACGUGAGUAACCUGCCCUUGACUCUGGGAUAAGCCUGGGAAACUGGGUCUAAUACUGGAUACGACCUUCCCACGCAUGUGGUGUUGGUGGAAAGCUUUUGUGGUUUUGGAUGGACUCGCGGCCUAUCAGCUUGUUGGUGGGGUAAUGGCCUACCAAGGCGACGACGGGUAGCCGGCCUGAGAGGGUGGACGGCCMCMCYGGGACUGAGACACGGCCCMGACUCCUACGGGAGGCAGCAGUGGGGAAUAUUGCACAAYGGGCGCAASCCUGAUGCAGCGACGCCGCGUGAGGGAUGAAGGCCUUCGGGUUSUAAACCUCUUUCAGUAGGGAAGAAGCGAAAGUGACGGUACCUGCAGAAGAAGCGCCGGCUAACYACGYGCCAGCAGCCGCGGUAAUACGUAGGGCGCAAGCSUUAUCCGSAAUUAUUGGGCGUAAAGAGCUCGUAGGCGGUUUGUCGCGUCUGCCGUGAAAGUCCGGGGYUUAACUCCGSAUCYGCGGUGGGUACGGGCAGACUUGAGUGAUGUAGGGGAGACUGGAAUUCCUGGUGUAGCGGUGAAAUGCGCAGAUAUCAGGAGGAACWCCGAUGGCKAAGGCWGGUCUCUGGGCAUUWACUGACGCUGAGGAGCGAAAGCAUGGGGAGCGAACAGGAUUAGAUACCCUGGUAGUCCAUGCCRUARACGUUGGGCACUAGGUGUGGGGGACAUUCCMCGUUUUCCGCGCCGUAKSUAACGCAUUAAGUGCCCCGCCUGGGGAGUACGGCCGCAAGGCUAAAACUCAAAGGAAUUGACGGGGGYCCGCACAWSCKGCGGAGCAUGCGRAUUAAUUCGAUGCAACGCKAAGAACCUUACCAAGGCUUGAYAUGAACCGGAACGGCGCAGAGAUGUGUCGGCCACUUGUGGCCGGUUUACAGGUGGUGCAUGGUUGUCGUCAGCUCGUGUCGUGAGAUGUUGGGUUAAGUCCCGCAACGAGCGCAACCCUCGUUCCAUGUUGCCAGCGGGUUAUGCCGGGGACUCAUGGGAGACUGCCGGGGUCAACUCGGAGGAAGGUGGGGACGACGUCAAAUCAUCAUGCCCCUUAUGUCUUGUGCUUCACGCAUGCUACAAUGGCCGGUACAAAGGGUUGCGAUGCUGUGAGGUGGAGCUAAUCCCAAAAAGCCGGUCUCAGUUCGGAUUGAGGUCUGCAACUCGACCUCAUGAAGUCGGAGUCGCUAGUAAUCGCA